AAAAAGGAAAUAGCUGGCGAAGUUAAAAAAGAAUUGGUUUCUGAAGAGCCUACUAGCUCUUCUGCAUCAACAGCGAAGGUUAGACGUGAUAAUAUGAAGGAUAGAGGUUCUUCUAUAAAAUCUAGAGGAUAUCAUGGCGUCAUGAGCAAUGUGGGCAAUAUGUCUGUAUCAUCAAAUCCUCGCAAUGCGGAGAGUAGAAUUGCACCUUCAAGAUCACAGACUAAACCUCAG
rnacentral:misc_RNA from 1 species